GGGUGCGAUCAUACCAGCAUUAAUGCACCAGAUCCCUUCAUAAAUCCUCAGUAAAGCAUGCUUGGGUGAGAGUAGUAUUAGGAUGGGUGACCUCCUAGGAAGUUGUUGUGUAGCAUCUC
rnacentral:rRNA from 1 species